rnacentral:rRNA from 1 species
GACGAACGCUGGCGGCGUGCCUAACACAUGCAAGUCGAGCGGGGAGGAGGAAGCUUGCUUCCGAAUCCUAGCGGCGGACGGGUGAGUAACGCGUGAGCAACCUGCCUCAAACAGGGGGAUAACGCAUCGAAAGAUGUGCUAAUACCGCGUAAGACCACGGCACCGCAUGGUGCAGAGGUCAAAGGAGCAAUCCGGUUUGAGAUGGGCUCGCGUCCGAUUAGCUAGUUGGUGAGAUAACGGCCCACCAAGGCGACGAUCGGUAGCCGACCUGAGAGGUGAUCGGCCACAUUGGGACUGAGACACGGCCCAGACUCCUACGGGAGGCAGCAGUGGGGAAUCUUCCGCAAUGGACGAAAGUCUGACGGAGCAAUGCCGCGUGAGUGAUGAAGGUUUUCGGACCGGUAAACUUCAACAAUCAGGGACGAAACAAUGACGGUACCUGACUGAAGCCACGGCUAACUACGUG